UACGUAGGGUGCAGGCGUUAAUCGGAAUUACUGGGCGUAAAGCGUGCGCAGGCGGUUCGUUGUGUCGGCGGUGAAAGCCCCGGGCUUAACCUGGGAAUGGCCGUCGAAACUGGCGAACUGGAGUGUGGCAGAGGGGGGUGGAAUUCCGCGUGUAGCAGUGAAAUGCGUAGAGAUGCGGAGGAACACCGAUGGCGAAGGCAGCCCCCUGGGCUGACACUGACGCUCAGGCACGAAAGCGUGGGGAGCAAACAGG
rnacentral:rRNA from 1 species